CAGUCGCCACGGUAAUACGUAGGUGGCGAGCGUUGUCCGGAAUUAUUGGGCGUAAAGGGCUCGCAGGCGGUUUCUUAAGUCUGAUGUGAAAGCCCCCGGCUCAACCGGGGAGGGUCAUUGGAAACUGGGAAACUUGAGUGCAGAAGAGGAGAGUGGAAUUCCACGUGUAGCGGUGAAAUGCGUAGAGAUGUGGAGGAACACCAGUGGCGAAGGCGACUCUCUGGUCUGUAACUGACGCUGAGGAGCGAAAGCGUGGGGAGCGAACAGGAUUAGAUACCCCCGUAGUCCCUGUCUCUUAUAC
rnacentral:rRNA from 1 species